rnacentral:rRNA from 1 species
AGUGAACGCUGGCGGCGUGCUUAACACAUGCAAGUCGAACGAGAACGGAUUAUAGCUUGCUAUAAUUGUCAGCUAAGUGGCGCACGGGUGAGUAAUGUAUAGGUAGUAUGCCUUUUACUAAGGAAUAACAAAUGGAAACGUUUGCUAAUACCUUAUACUCCUUAUUAACCUAAGUUAAUAAGGGAAAGAUUUAUUGGUAAGAGAUUAGCCUGUAUUGUAUCAGUUAGUUGGUGGGGUAAUGGCUUACCAAGACUAUGACACAUAACUGGCUUGAGAGGAUGAUCAGUCACACUGGAACUGAGACACGGUCCAGACUCCUACGGGAGGCAGCAGUGGGGAAUAUUGCACAAUGGACGGAAGUCUGAUGCAGCAACGCCGCGUGGAGGAUGACACAUUUCGGUGCGUAAACUCCUUUUAUAUGAGAAGAUAAUGACGGUAUUAUAUGAAUAAGCACCGGCUAACUCCGUGCCAGCCGCCGCAGUAA